ACAGCCGUUGCACACGAGUCAGUCGAUCCUAAGCCCUAUGUGAAAGCUGAUGCCGAUGGGUGGUCGAAAGUUGUUGGCCGAUACCCCCGGUGGGCGAAAGGGAAUCCGGUU
rnacentral:rRNA from 1 species